UACAGAGGGUGCGAGCGUUAAUCGGAAUUACUGGGCGUAAAGCGCGCGUAGGCGGCUUUGCAAGUCGGGUGUGAAAUCCCUCGGCUUAACCGGGGAACUGCGUCUGAUACUGGAUGGCUUGAAUCCGGGAGAGGGAUGCGGAAUUCCAGGUGUAGCGGUGAAAUGCGUAGAUAUCUGGAGGAACACCGGUGGCGAAGGCGGCAUCCUGGACCGGCAUUGACGCUGAGGAGCGAAAGCCAGGGGAGCAAACGGG
rnacentral:rRNA from 1 species